UGUCCACUCAUUAUUGUUAAAAACCCAUUUUAGGAAUGUACUGGUAAUGUGAUUCUGAUAACAAUGUCGACAAACAAAGAAACUUAUAGUAAUAAAAAGCACUGAUUGAUAACAUGGUCCAGAUAAAAUUUUUUGACCCAAUCACAUGGAAUAAGUUUUUCCAGCUAUUGUUGUUGGCAUCAGGCAACUAUGCACCAUGCAAGUGGUUACAGAAAUGAAAAGAUUAUAGAAUCAGAAGACAGAAGUGCACACAUGCUUUGAUAAAGGCAAUAAGGCACAUACAAAGAGUGGAAUAUUUACUGAUGGGAAGUUGAAGACAGUGAUGAUGAUGAACUACAAUA
rnacentral:lncRNA from 1 species